GGGGAGGGGGUCAGGGUUAGAGGACAGACCGUUCAGAAGACCGUUCAGAAGGCAGCGUGAUUGAAGGCAUUUUAAAAAUUAUGUCAGAUCUUUCUCUUCUGCACCGUGGCAAUGUUUCCGGAUGCUUCAUUUUAUUAAAACAAGGGGAGUAGCCUGGAAGAUGAUGGAAGCCUGUAGGAUCCAGAAGUGUCUCUGCUGGGAAGCCAGGGGGUGUCACCAAGACCUGGGAUGGCCUUACUGCAGCUCAGAGAGGCUAAACACUUGUCUGAGGUCACACAGAGCUGCAACCAGAUGUACCAAGGAAGGACGAGAAGAAAGUGAGAACAAGGGGAAUAAAAGAAGGACAUUGAAGACCCUUUCAGACUUGAUCCCAGGGAAAGAGCCCUGGACUGGGAAUACAUGCUAGUUAUAAAACUCUAUAAAUUGAGAACAGCUUGUGAGAACAGAAAGAAAAAAAAGACUGUAAUUUUGAAGAGGUUACAAUCUCAUAAUUACAGAAGAGGAGACUGAAGUCCAGAGAAUACAAAUUCAAAACUGCACCAUGCGAUUGUGUUACGGGUUCAGGUUCACUCCAGGUCUUCUAACGCAUCGGCCAGUGCAGGAGGGAACUGCAGAUAACAAACAAAAUUGCCAUCAACAGUAUGAUGUGUUCACAGCCAAAGAAAUGAAAUGAAAUAAAAUUUCCAAAAGUAAAGAAAAUUAAUUGUAAAAAAAAAGAGAUAGUAUGAUGUAGCUUUAUAAAAAUGAUGAUUAAAGACAUUGCAAGGA
rnacentral:lncRNA from 1 species